UGCCAGCAGCCGCGGUAAGACGAACCGUGCGAACGUUGUUCGGAAUCACUGGGCUUAAAGGGCGCGUAGGCGGCCGAUCAAGUCGGGGGUGAAAUCUUACGGCUCAACCGUAAAAGUGCCUUCGAUACUGGUUGGCUUGAGUGAGGUAGGGGCAGGUGGAACUUCCAGUGGAGCGGUGAAAUGUGUUGAUAUUGGAAGGAACGCCGGUGGCGAAAGCGGCCUGCUGGACCUCUUCUGACGCUGAGGCGCGAAAGCUAGGGGAGCAAACGGGAUUAGAUA
rnacentral:rRNA from 1 species